ACAUGCAAGUCAGGGGCAGCAUGAUCGAAGCUGCUUGAUGAUGGCGACCGGCGCACGGGUGAGUAACGCGUAUCCAACCUUCCCUUUAGUAGAGGAUAGCCCGGCGAAAGUCGGAUUAAUACUCUAUGUUGUAUUUAGAAGACAUCUGAAGAAUACCAAAGGUUUACCGCUAAAGGAUGGGGAUGCGUCUGAUUAGGUAGUAGGCGGGGUAACGGCCCACCUAGCCGACGAUCAGUAGGGGUUCUGAGAGGAAGGUCCCCCACAUUGGAACUGAGACACGGUCCAAACUCCUACGGGAGGCAGCAGUGAGGAAUAUUGGUCAAUGGACGAAAGUCUGAACCAGCCAAGUAGCGUGCAGGAUGACGGCCCUAUGGGUUGUAAACUGCUUUUAUAUAGGGAUAAAGUCGGGGACGUGUCCCCGUUUGUAGGUACUAUAUGAAUAAGGACCGGCUAAUUCCGUGCCAGCAGCAGC
rnacentral:rRNA from 1 species